UACGUAGGGGGCAAGCGUUGUCCGGAAUCAUUGGGCGUAAAGAGCGUGUAGGCGGCUCGAUAAGUCCGCUCUGAAAGCCCGGGGCUCAACCCCGGGAGGCGGGCGGAUACUGUCGAGCUAGAGUCCGGAAGAGGCGAGUGGAAUUCCUGGUGUAGCGGUGAAAUGCGCAGAUAUCAGGAGGAACACCGGUGGCGAAGGCGGAUCUCUGGGCCAUUACUGACGCUGAGGAGCGAAAGCGUGGGGAGCGAACAGG
rnacentral:rRNA from 1 species